CAGUAACGGCGAGUGAAGCGGUAAUAGCUCAAAUUUGAAAUCUGGCUCUCUCAGGGUCCGAGUUGUAAUUUGUAGAAGAUGCUUUGGGUGUGGCUCCGGUCUAAGUUCCUUGGAACAGGACGUCAUAGAGGGUGAGAAUCCCGUAUGUGACCGGUGGCUUUCGUCCGUGUAAAGCUCUUUCGACGAGUCGAGUUGUUUGGGAAUGCAGCUCAAAAUGGGUGGUAAAUUUCAUCUAAAGCUAAAUAUUGGCCAGAGACCGAUAGCGCACAAGUAGAGUGAUCGAAAGAUGAAAAGCACUUUGGAAAGAGAGUUAAACAGUACGUGAAAUUGUUGAAAGGGAAGCGCUUGCAACCAGACUCGCAUGCUGUCGAUCAUCCGGGGUUCUCCCCGGUGCACUCGGUAGUCUACGGGCCAGCAUCGGUUUGGGUGGUGGGAUAAAGACCUUAGGAAUGUAGCUUCUCUCGGGGAGUGUUAUAGCCUUCGGUGCAAUGCCACCUACCCGGACCGAGGACCGCGCUUCGGCUAGGAUGCUGC
rnacentral:rRNA from 1 species